GAUAAUAUGUGAUCGUAUGAUUUCAAAAACGUAUACCGUAAUUAAAAAAAUUAAGUUUUUGGUGUUUUUAAAUGGCGUGACGGACCGCCGUGGCGCUUCAGUAGGCCGCGAGUAAAUCUCUAACGUUAUAUUAGUUAACGUGAAUUAAAAGAAGUUAAAAGAGUUAAAAGAAGUAGUGCAGCUUAACGAAAUGCACCUUUUAUCGCUCGUUCAGCGUUUCAGCCGCGGAAAGACGUUGAAACAGCUCGCAAACAACGUCAAUGGCGUAGGAAUAUCCCAGCUGUUCAGACGGGACGUAGAUCUCCUCGUUGGUCACGGGUGGAAAAAAGGGGACCAUGUUAUAAUGCCGGUUGUGUCCGAUAGGGGCCAUCUCAUCCGGGAAGCUGGCAUUUUCACUGGAGCGCCUCAUCCAUUCCUCAAAUACGGCGUCGGUGAAUGUAUGGAGCACCUACGCGGCCAAAGAUUGGGUCGUUGGCGGCGGAGUGGGACAGAGCGCUGGUCCCGUUGAGGAACUGGUGAACCAGAUUGUGCAGAUUGGACACGGAGCUGUCCAGCUCUCCGUCUGGUUUAUCGUAUCCUUCCAGUGCGUUCCUUCAAGGAAAGGCUGUGAUGGACUGGAUUACCUGAAGCUGAAGCUGGAGUUGGUGAAGUACGGUGGACUGUC